rnacentral:rRNA from 1 species
GCAGUCGAGCGAGCGGUUUUGAGGAGUUUUCGGACGGAAUCAUAACUGACUGAGCGGCGGACGGGUGAGUAACGCGUGGGUAACCUGCCUCAUACGGGGGGAUAACAGUUAGAAAUGGCUGCUAAUACCGCAUAAGCGCACAGCUUCGCAUGAAGCGGUGUGAAAAACUCCGGUGGUAUGAGAUGGACCCGCGUCUGAUUAGCUAGUUGGUAAGGUAACGGCUUACCAAGGCGACGAUCAGUAGCCGACCUGAGAGGGUGACCGGCCACAUUGGGACUGAGACACGGCCCAAACUCCUACGGGAGGCAGCAGUGGGGAAUAUUGCACAAUGGGGGAAACCCUGAUGCAGCGACGCCACGUGAGUGAAGAAGUAUCUCGGUAUGUAAAGCUCUAUCAGCAGGGAAAAAAAUGACGGUACCUGACUAAGAAGCCCCGGCUAACUACGUGCCAGCAGCCGCGGUAAUACGUAGGGGGCAAGCGUUAUCCGGAUUUACUGGGUGUAAAGGGAGCGUAAACGGCGGAUCAAGUCUGAAGUGAAAGCCCGGGGCUCAACCCCGGGACUGCUUUGGAAACUGUUCUGCUAGAGUGCUGGAGAGGUAAGUGGAAUUCCUAGUGUAGCGGUGAAAUGCGUAGAUAUUAGGAGGAACACCAGUGGCGAAGGUGGCUUACUGGA